GGCUGAGUAGCUCAGUUGGAUAGAGCAACAGCCUUCUAAGCUGUGGGUCUUGGGUUCGAAUCCCAACUCAGUCA
rnacentral:tRNA from 1 species